CAGAACAAAAAAAAGGAAAAGAGGAGGAAGAAAGGGAGGUUAUGGGAGAAGAAGAAGAAAGGAAAGGGAAGAGACAAGGUUUCAAAAUAGUCGGAAAAACGUGGAUAACACCGAAAAACGGAUCUUGAAGUUUAAUAGGCAACGUUUUGAGGGUCGGUGAAGCAGAGAUCGAAACGGCUUACAACCCUAACUCUUCAUGCCAACAGUCCUGUGAGUGGUUACUUUAUGAAAUAUUUUCAUUAUGGUGAUAAAUGUGAAUUUGAGUUAUAGAAUCUAGAACAGUUCAUGAUUUAUGCAAAUGAGAGAGCUUCACAUACUAGGGAGAUGACAAGAAUUUAUGUUUAUUAAGUGAAUUAUUCUAUUCUAGCAAGCAGUGAAAUUCUGGAGUAUGAAGAGGUGAAUUGCGAUUACUUAGUUGAACUUAUGAUUUUAGUACUAUGGAAAAUCGGGGUAAUUAUAUUCAUGAACGAAUGGAGUUACUAUGACAUAGUUUACCCUUGGUUUGGUCUAUUAAGAGUUGAAUUUAGCAAUUUAUGGAUUUAACAUAAUUGACAAAGUUCAAGUUAUGUUUGACAUUUUAUAAUUAUUCGUAAAUUUGAAAUGAUGAUAGUAGUAAAGCUGUUGAUUCCAUUGAAAAGAAUAGUGAUUGAUUAAUGAACUAUGACUACAACAUCAUAUUACAAGUUGAUGGCAUUAGAACAAUCUUGGCUAUAGUGUUGUUUGUGAACAUGAGUAUCAUGGUGGAAAUCAAUUCCAAGGACUAGAUUGUAUAUCCAUUGUGAUUUCCACUAUACAUGUAUAAAUGUACCCUAUAGAAUAUAUAUGAAUGAAUUGUUCUGUUUCACGUUUUGGGGUGUUCUCGACGUGUUGUAUGACCAGUUUGCUCUAUUAUGUCUCUUGAGAUUAUUGAUACAUAGCAAGACCAGGAUUUUCUCUGCUGUGUAUCUUGAGAUUAGCGAUACAUAGUAAGACUAGAAUUGCUCUACUACACACCUUGAAAUCUCUUGGUAUGUAGUAUGACCAGUUGCUCUGCUAUGUGUGGAAGUAAAGUUCAUGCAUAAUAUGACCAGUUUUCUCUACUAUACCCGUUGAGAUCUUCCGUGUAUAGUUACGACCAGUUACUCUACUGUGAGUAUCAAUGUUACUCUAUGCCAGCAUGACUAGUUUGAGCACAAAGAUGAUGAAGAGUACUAAACUCAUAUUUUAGCUUAACUAAUAAAUCGUUUUUGUUUUCAUGAACUUAAAAUUGAUAUAUGUAUUUCAAGCUGCACGCUACAACAUGUACGUAAUAAGUACUUAACUCAAAAAUGUGUUGUUAUAUAUACAUAUUUUCAUUUAAAUAUGGUGCCCGAUUCCUGCUUAAUAUUCUACCACUCACUACGUUGUUAGCUCACCCUUUUCUCUUGUUUUUGUUUGGUCUAUUCUACCAAGCAGCACUUGAGUUUCAAGAACCUACUGUGUUCAAUAGCACCACCGAGUUCCUUACCUAGAUCUAAUGUUGUUUUGUAUGUGCAUGUAGUGGAGAUGCAUUACUUUAUUUGGAGUUAUAUUGUAACUAAUUUUGGCUAGCAUAUCUUUAAUGACGUUAUCAAAAUUUUGAGAGUUAUGAUGAAUUGUAAACUAAGCCAUAGACAUACUGUCGUGACUUUUGUGAUGUGACGUUUUCUUUUAAGAUUUCUUUUGAAUUAGAACUUGGUUGGUGUGUCACGAGGCACACUUGUGGUAGUUUGGAAAUUAAGUGUUUUGAAGUGUACAAAGCUAAAUAUGUAUAUACUUUUCAGGUGUGUUU